UUUUUUUAAUUGUCUUUCGGGAUCUGUCUGUUUAAUUUGUUCCUUAUUAUGAUGGAGCAGGUUAACAGUGGGUUUCGUUAAGUUGCCUUAAAGUUAUGCAAAGAACUUGGUUACUUCGUCUUGCUUCUGCCUUCCCUUCUAAACUUUUUUUAAAUUAUCCCGUAUCUCUCAAUUUUUGUAUGUGUAUGGCCUUAAUUGGUGCCUUUUGCCUCAGGUGAAAACAACGUCCUUGGGUUCGUUUGGGUGGAAGAAAUUAAUUCCACUUAGAAGGGUUAUUCAUUCUGGAAGCAGUUCCUUUAUAUUGAGCUUUGAUUUUGUCCUUAAUUUUUCAAUUUCAAUUGUUUUUGUUUGCCAUAGUUGAGAAGAGCAUUCAUCAUCGUCUUUAAUUUGGAGGUUUUUUUUUUGACGUAGGUGAAAAGAGCAUCACUUUCCACUUGGGUUCAUUUGGUUUAUAGGGGAAGUGAUGAUUCCGCUUGUCAUUCACGCUUGAGUGACUCCUUUUUCAUUUUGAUCUUUUGAAGGAAAGAUUUUGUUUGACUUCUGAUAUCUGUUUAAUUUGUGGCCUAUGUUGCAGCAAGUUAAUAAUGGGUCUAGAUGGCUGCCUUGGAGUUUCUCAAACAAUCUGGUUACAUCCUGUCGUUGGGGGUUCACUCACUCGAGUGACUCCUCUUUAGUUUUGAUCGUUUUAAGACAGUUUUUGUUUGACUUUUGAUAUCUGUCUAAUUUGUGGCUUAUGUUUCUGCAAGUUAAUAAAUAAGCUGCCUUGGAAGUUUCGCAAAUGAUCUGGUUACAUCUUCUUGUUGGGUUCAUUUGGUUUACAGGAAGUGAUUCCACUUAGAAGUGUCAUUCACUGAUUCCAGGUGGAAGUGUCAUUCACUCGAGUGAAUCCUUUUUAGUUUUGAUAUUUUUAAAAGAUAGUUUGUUUCACUUUCAAUAUCUGUUUAAUUUGUGGCUUAUCUUGCAGCAAGAUAACAAUGGGUCUAGAUAAGUUGCCUUGAAGUUUUGCAAAUAAUGUGGUUACAUCGUCCAGCUCAUGCCUUUUUCUUGUACACACUUGAUGGUACUACUAUUCCGUCUUGCGGAGUGUGUCAUCCAUGAUGUAUGGCGUUUUGUUGAAGCUUUUUGGCUUAGGUGGAAAGAGUGUGGCUUUCCUUUGUGGGUUCGUUUGGGUGGAAAACAUUUUGAACCCGUGUUCAAGCAAUUCAGUGCCGAGCAAUGAACCACAGUACCAAAAGUCAGCUGCUGGUUAACAAUGCGCCUCUAGGGUUGCCUGAUUUUCGCAAAAAUAUGA